rnacentral:rRNA from 1 species
CAGUCGAACGAACUCUGGUAUUGAUUGGUGCUUGCAUCAUGAUUUACAUUUGAGUGAGUGGCGAACUGGUGAGUAACACGUGGGAAACCUGCCCAGAAGCGGGGGAUAACACCUGGAAACAGAUGCUAAUACCGCAUAACAACUUGGACCGCAUGGUCCGAGCUUGAAAGAUGGCUUCGGCUAUCACUUUUGGAUGGUCCCGCGGCGUAUUAGCUAGAUGGUGGGGUAACGGCUCACCAUGGCAAUGAUACGUAGCCGACCUGAGAGGGUAAUCGGCCACAUUGGGACUGAGACACGGCCCAAACUCCUACGGGAGGCAGCAGUAGGGAAUCUUCCACAAUGGACGAAAGUCUGAUGGAGCAACGCCGCGUGAGUGAAGAAGGGUUUCGGCUCGUAAAACUCUGUUGUUAAAGAAGAACAUAUCUGAGAGUAACUGUUCAGGUAUUGACGGUAUUUAACCAGAAAGCCACGGCUAACUACGUGCCAGCAGCCGCGGUAAUACGUAGGUGGCAAGCGUUGUCCGGAUUUAUUGGGCGUAAAGCGAGCGCAGGCGGUUUUUUAAGUCUGAUGUGAAAGCCUUCGGCUCAACCGAAGAAGUGCAUCGGAAACUGGGAAACUUGAGUGCAGAAGAGGACAGUGGAACUCCAUGUGUAGCGGUGAAAUGCGUAGAUAUAUGGAAGAACACCAGUGGCGAAGGCGGCUGUCUGGUCUGUAACUGACGCUGAGGCUCGAAAGUAUGGGUAGCAAACAGGAUUAGAUACCCUGGUAGUCCAUACCGUAAACGAUGAAUGCUAAGUGUUGGAGGGUUUCCGCCCUUCAGUGCUGCAGCUAACGCAUUAAGCAUUCCGCCUGGGGAGUACGGCCGCAAGGCUGAAACUCAAAGGAAUUGACGGGGGCCCGCACAAGCGGUGGAGCAUGUGGUUUAAUUCGAAGCUACGCGAAGAACCUUACCAGGUCUUGACAUACUAUGCAAAUCUAAGAGAUUAGACGUUCCCUUCGGGGACAUGGAUACAGGUGGUGCAUGGUUGUCGUCAGCUCGUGUCGUGAGAUGUUGGGUUAAGUCCCGCAACGAGCGCAACCCUUAUUAUCAGUUGCCAGCAUUAAGUUGGGCACUCUGGUGAGACUGCCGGUGACAAACCGGAGGAAGGUGGGGAUGACGUCAAAUCAUCAUGCCCCUUAUGACCUGGGCUACACACGUGCUACAAUGGAUGGUACAACGAGUUGCGAACUCGCGAGAGUAAGCUAAUCUCUUAAAGCCAUUCUCAGUUCGGAUUGUAGGCUGCAACUCGCCUACAUGAAGUCGGAAUCGCUAGUAAUCGCGGAUCAGCAUGCCGCGGUGAAUACGUUCCCGGGCCUUGUACACACCGCCCGUCACACCAUGAGAGUUUGUAACACCCAAAGUCGGUGG